rnacentral:rRNA from 1 species
AUGGAUUUUUACAGAGGGUUGAUGCUGGCAGUUUAUCUGCAUGUGCUCGCUCUUCUGAUUUAUUUACACCUGUGCACUUAAUUCUUUUCAAAGGCCUUAGGGGUAGAAACCUGCCUUUGGAGCUUUAUAAACCCCCCUAUUUGAGAUUAUGGAUGUUUAUCUGCCACAAGGCAAAAUUUUAAUA